UUGUAGGGGCGUAUGCUAUAAUGCAGUCGAGCGGACAGAAGGGAGCUUGCUCCCGGAUGUUAGCGGCGGACGGGUGAGUAACACGUGGGUAACCUGCCUGUAAGACUGGGAUAACUCCGGGAAACCGGAGCUAAUACCGGAUAGUUCCUUGAACCGCAUGGUUCAAGGAUGAAAGACGGUUUCGGCUGUCACUUACAGAUGGACCCGCGGCGCAUUAGCUAGUUGGUGAGGUAACGGCUCACCAAGGCGACGAUGCGUAGCCGACCUGAGAGGGUGAUCGGCCACACUGGGACUGAGACACGGCCCAGACUCCUACGGGAGGCAGCAGUAGGGAAUCUUCCGCAAUGGACGAAAGUCUGACGGAGCAACGCCGCGUGAGUGAUGAAGGUUUUCGGAUCGUAAAGCUCUGUUGUUAGGGAAGAACAAGUGCAAGAGUAACUGCUUGCACCUUGACGGUACCUAACCAGAAAGCCACGGCUAACUACGUGCCAGCAGCCGCGGUAAUACGUAGGUGGCAAGCGUUGUCCGGAAUUAUUGGGCGUAAAGGGCUCGCAGGCGGUUUCUUAAGUCUGAUGUGAAAGCCCCCGGCUCAACCGGGGAGGGUCAUUGGAAACUGGGAAACUUGAGUGCAGAAGAGGAGAGUGGAAUUCCACGUGUAGCGGUGAAAUGCGUAGAGAUGUGGAGGAACACCAGUGGCGAAGGCGACUCUCUGGUCUGUAACUGACGCUGAGGAGCGAAAGCGUGGGGAGCGAACAGGAUAGAUACCCUGGUAGUCCACGCCGUAAACGAUGAGUGCUAAGUGUAGGGGGUUUCCGCCCCUUAGUGCUGCAGCUAACGCAUUAAGCACUCCGCCGGGGGAGUACGGUCGAAAGACUUG
rnacentral:rRNA from 1 species